rnacentral:rRNA from 1 species
UUUUAAACUAGGAUUAGAUACCCUAUUAUUAAUUAAGUAAAUUAUAAAGUUAAGUGAUUAAUAGUUAAGUUCUUUAAAGCUAAAUGAUUUGGCGGUAUUUUUACUUUUCAGAGGAACCUGUUCUAUAAACGAUAAUCCACGAUUAAAAUUACUUUAGUUAGAAACUUUUAUAUCGUCGUUGUUAAAUAUUUUUUUAGAAAUUAAUAUUUAGAUAUUUUUUAAAAAUUUAAAUCAGAUCAAGGUGAAGUUUAUAUUAAAGUAGAAAUGGGUUACAUUAAAUUAUAUUUAUGGAUUUAUAUAUUUUAAAAGUUUUAUGAAAUUGGAUUUGAUUGUAAUUAAAUAUUUUUAUUUUAAUGACUAGACUAACG